AUGCACAAAAGGUUAGGAGACUCGUACUGCAGCCUAUCGCCAUCCAGCCAACGGUCCAACCAAAAAAGCGUUGCCUCGCCAUUGCCUACAACAGAUCUACCCUCAAACAGUACCCUGGACUCCUGUGUCACUUGCAGAUUAAAUUCCUUCCAGGGAUUCGAAGCACCGGGAUGCUUCAGCCAAAGCCAGCGCGAGCGCAGGGCCAUGUCCAGCCAUUUCAGAUCAGGCAAACCUAAACCACCAGCCCUCUUCGGCGCGCAGACUGCACGCCGGGUCACCACAGUGCCUGCCCCUGGCGUCGGCAUGAUCUUUCCAGAGGAAUUUUGUUUAUCCCUUCCACCACCUUAG
rnacentral:rRNA from 1 species